UACAGAGGGUGCAAGCGUUGUUCGGAAUUAUUGGGCGUAAAGGGCGCGUAGGCGGCUUUUCAAGCGUGCGGUGAAAGCUCGGGGCUUAACUCCGAGUCUGCCGUGCGAACUGGGAGGCUUGAGUCUGGUAGAGGUCGAUGGAAUUCCGGGUGUAGCGGUGGAAUGCGUAGAGAUCCGGAAGAACACCGGUGGCGAAGGCGGUCGACUGGGCCAGUACUGACGCUGAGGCGCGACAGCGUGGGGAGCAAACAGG
rnacentral:rRNA from 1 species